rnacentral:rRNA from 1 species
GACGAACGCUGGCGGCGUGCUUAACACAUGCAAGUCGAACGAAAAGAGGGAAAGAGCUUGCUCUUUCCGGAAUUGAGUGGCAAACGGGUGAGUAACACGUAAACAACCUGCCUUCAGGAUGGGGACAACAGACGGAAACGACUGCUAAUACCGAAUAAGUUCCAAGAGCCGCAUGGCCCAUGGAAGAAUAGGUGGCCUCUACCUGUAAGCUAUCGCCUGAAGAGGGGUUUGCGUCUGAUUAGCUGGUUGGAGGGGUAACGGCCCACCAAGGCGACGAUCAGUAGCCGGUCUGAGAGGAGGAACGGCCAAACUGGAACUGAGACACGGUCCAGACUCCUACGGGAGGCAGCAGUGGGGAAUCUUCCGCAAUGGGCGAAAGCCUGACGGAGCAACGCCGCGUGAGUGAUGACGGCCUUCGGGUUGUAAAACUCUGUGAUCCGGGACGAAAAGGCAGAGUGCGAAGAACAAACUGCAUUGACGGUACCGGAAAAGCAAGCCACGGCUAACUACGUG